GUUGCAGUGGGCGUGGGUUUGAUCCGGCCCUGGGUGCAGCUCUCCCAGAUGUGGUUGGCCAUGUGGUUCCCGAUGGCAGCCAGGACCUGCGUGAGCUCUCCGGGCCAGUCGUCCAGGUCCAGGGAGCGGACGCGGGACAGGUGAGUGCCGAGGUUACGAUGGAUCCCUGAGCACUCGAUGCAGAUCAGAGCGCCCAGGUUCAGACUGGCCCAGGUGGGAUCUGCAGGACGGAAGAAUAAUAAGAUAAUGAUCAUUCACUGACACAGAUGAUUGACUUGCAGUGGUGGGCAGGACUUAAAAUUGCAAGCUACAGCUACUUAUUAGAUCUGUGUUUCUAUUCUACUUUUCUUUCAUCUAUUUCCAGCUACUUUAUUCAUCUACUGCACCACAAAUCAGAAGCAAACAGUAUAGUUUUUACUGCAAUACCUUUAAAUGUAAAGCUUUUUAGUUACUAUUUAUAAUAUGUACUUUCCAAAUUAAGAUGAAUAAUUCAAAAACAACAAACAAAUAAUAUAAAUGACACUUUAUUGAUCCUCAGGGGAAAUAACCGGGAGAAUAUAAAAUAAUUACAUCUAUAAAAUAUGAAUAAAUGAAUUUAAAUAGGCUCCACUUUUGCCAACUGUAACAUUAAAGGGAUGAAUACAUUAAUAAUUAUAACCGUGUUAUAAAAUAUAUAUUAUUCUGAAAUGGGCCAGUCUGCAUAAUGAGUUCUUUUUGGUACAUUUAGUAUAUUUUCUCUGUCUGUUGCAAUUGUACUUUUGCUCUGACUCAUCACAGUUUCUCUGCAUACACUACUACUUUCACAAAGUGCUUCUGCCACCACAAUGGAGUAAAUGUAAACAUGGUUAAAUCACAACUGCGGGCUCUGGAUGGGGAAUACAAAAGCACAUUUAUCCUUCAGAGUAAAUCUACAGCUGUAAAUAAAACAUUGACGUUUAAAACUCACUCGGUGAUUCGCAGUCGACACACAGACCGUUUCCCUUGGCGUUGCGGAUGGCCUGCAGCGCUACAGCUUCACUCUGGCUGCUCCUCCGAGCCUGCACAAACACAAACAAACAGAUAUUUAAAUAAUGUAUUUCUUCACACAAUCACUUCGAUUACCAAAACAAAGUGUUUAAAUCUAUCUUGAGCUCUAAUAGGGCUGUGUAAUCAGAAUCAAUAUCAGGUUAAUGCCAAGAACUUGUACGCAUAUAAGGAAUUCUUUUUGGCCUAUAAGGUGCUUACAAUAGACAAUGAGAGGAGUUAAGUCAGAAGAAAAGGAGCAAAAAUAUAUCUAUUAUAAAAUGCAAACAAAAACAGAGAAAUAUUUCCACAAUAUAUAAAUAUACAAACAACUACAGUACAGUAAAACAUUUAACAAAGUACUUUCAAAAUGACUUUGAAUCCUGCAAUCUGGGAUCUGCAAUUAUCACAGUCCUUCAUGGGCUUAGUUUUUCUGAAAUCCUAAAAUUGUCCCCCCAAGUAAUUUGAUACUAAUUGGAGGUGCGUUUGGAUAUAAAAUGAUUCCCAUCAGCUCUACAAAGCGAGCCACAGAACCUAGAACAGGCAGGAAGAAAGAAAGGAGCAUGUAAAUUGUGUAGACUGGCAGGAAAUGCAAUAGAAGAUGCCGUUCUCCCUCCAUCCACUAGAUGCCUUCAGAUUUACCUAUUAGUCCAAGUCACCUGACUCACAAAUACUCACCUGCUCCUCAUUCUCUAAUUAUCCUGCAGUUGGACUCAACAGGGGAAAAGUUAAGAUGUACUUAAUCUGCUAAUCACAGCCAUUUCAUUUGAGUCCAUUUAUUUUGCUUCAAAUGGCAAAGGAUUUAAAUGCUAUAAUCUCCAAAAAUGAUCUUAUCUGGGGCAUCACUGUGACUGCAGGCUGGCCAGGAUCUGGCUCUCGAUCGCAGACACCCACGAGUCUCGGUCCUCCAGACUCUGAGCCUCGAAGUGCCACGUCUGCCCCGUGAACGACACGAUGAUAAAGUCUGCGUUCUCUUCAUCUGCGAGUUAAUGGGAGGCAGAACACACAUAAAGAGGAGGGGCAGCGCUGAAGCCCUCGGUCUCCGCUUUGAGACGACAGACCCCCAGAGCGAUCCUCCACCACAGACAGAGUGGACGGACACAGCUGAGGAACUGAGGGACAGAGACAAAGGGAAUCAUGCAGGAACAAACACUCAUAUGAUUUACUUUGUUGUAUAUAGAAAUACUUUACAAGAAAUUGGUGCAUUAACAUUUUCACUUGAAUACAAUGAAUAUUUAUGAAACAGUCUGAAUUUAAUGCUUCUGGUGCCUAUAUAUGACCUAUGUAAGCAAGGUUGGUCAGUGAGUUGUACAUAAACCAGGUU